AGAAUGAUCAUGACCAAACUCCCUGCACCACCUCUGCGUGGUCAGCAUGUACAUGUCACUAUCCUGAGCCAGCUGGCAGGGCCAUUUUUGUUUUUUUUUUUUGGUUGUUUUUUGUUUUUGGGGUGUUUUUUUUUUGUUUUUUUUUUUUGUUUUGUUUUGUUUUUUUCUUUUGUUUUUUGCCUCUGCUGAUACCAACUCUCCAGGUGAACCUUCUCUUACUUGGCUCCUCUGGAGGCAGGCAUGCAGGACUCUGGACUUCUACCCUCUGAUUUUACCUGCUGUCGAAAUUAUGUCUAAAAAGAAGGCAAAGAAGUCACUCACUCUCUUACCAAGGCAAACCUUCCAGCAAGUUCCAGACAAGGGAGUCUACUGUAGAAUGAUCAGAAGUUUCCAGCUAGUCUGGGCUCCACAGAGAGAGACAUGUCUUCAUGGGCAGUUCAUCCUUAGCCAUGAAUUCUUUUAGCACUGCCAAUUUACACCUAACUGAAGUCAGACAGCAAACAGUGGCAGCAGCGUGUCCAAGAGGAAGACUCCCAGGUCGAGACCUGUGGUUUUGGAUUUCACCUCCCUGCCUAUCUCUGGGCUUGGGUUUCUGCGGGCCUUACAGUAAAGCUUGGAUCUCAUCACAGUUCACGAUUGUCUGCUGGAGCUUUGAAACUUCCGGGCUGAUCUCUGCUUCCCGUCUUCAGAUGGGAAUAGAAGCCAGUAAGCGGCUCUGAGGCUCCUCACUGGCCUUCAAUAAGGACACUGUGUACCGUGGAGCAGCUGCGCAAGGCUUCGCAAAUGCUGGCUGACAAGAAGUGACAGCCCUGUAUAUCUCUCACUGGCAUUGACAGCUGACAGAUGGAUACCACUCACACACAGAAGAAAAGCCCCCGGGACGGUUCGCCAGCAUUACUCUCUGUUCACAGGGCCACAUGUGAUGGAGUGCUGCUCGGAAUAAUAAACCCGGAGGAUGGCUGCAGCGUGGGCUUCUCAUACAGCACACAGGACUUGUCCCCGCUCUAAAACACGAACAAAUAGAUACACAGAAGCUC